GAGGACCAGCUGAACUUCUGUGGAUUCAUAAGAACCUUGGCUCAUUUCUGACCCAUUGAUGAUUACGAAAGGAGCAAAGAUGUGAAUGGACCAGAACCACUUGACAGCUGAAGCAGCAAACUUCACUUUGGUUUUUAAUUAUAUGAUUUGGAUAGAUGUUAGACAACAUCUCCUGCAGUGAGCUGUUACAGGAGCUAUGCAUAAUGGUCAGAGGGAAUAACUCAGAUGAGCGACUGGGCAUCAUCACAGACAGAACCAUCCAGGAGGCUAACUGGGAUGGGGAUGAUGCAAUAUCUUUCACAGGAUGUUUUAAGUUUUUGGAGAAGGUGGACAUAGAACAGAAAAUGAACAUC
rnacentral:lncRNA from 1 species